GAUGAACGCUGGCGGCGUGCCUAAUACAUGCAAGUCGAGCGAACAGACGAGGAGCUUGCUCCUCUGACGUUAGCGGCGGACGGGUGAGUAACACGUGGAUAACCUACCUAUAAGACUGGGAUAACUUCGGGAAACCGGAGCUAAUACCGGAUAAUAUAUUGAACCGCAUGGUUCAAUAGUGAAAGACGGUUUUGCUGUCACUUAUAGAUGGAUCCGCGCCGCAUUAGCUAGUUGGUAAGGUAACGGCUUACCAAGGCAACGAUGCGUAGCCGACCGGGGGGGGGAAUCGCCCACACUGGAAGUGAACCAGGGCCAGAGCCCCACGGGGGGGAAGCAGUAGGAAAUCUUGCGAAAGGGGGAAAAGCCUGACGGGGAAACGCCGGGGGAGGAAGGAGGGUUUUGGGUUCGAAAAUCUCUGUUAUUAGGAAAAAAAAAAUGUGUAAGUAAAAAUGCGCGUCUGGAGGGAACCUAAGAAGAAAGCCCGGGCUAACCCCGU
rnacentral:rRNA from 1 species